rnacentral:rRNA from 1 species
GGUCGCAUUUCUAGCUUGCUAGAAGAUGACGAGCGGCGGACGGGUGAGUAAUGCUUGGGAAUAUGCCUUAUGGUGGGGGACAACAGUUGGAAACGACUGCUAAUACCGCAUAACGUCUACGGACCAAAGGGGGGGAUCUUCGGACCUCCCGCCAUUUGAUUAGCCCAAGUGAGAUUAGCUAGUUGGUGAGGUAAUGGCUCACCAAGGCGACGAUCUCUAGCUGGUUUGAGAGGAUGAUCAGCCACACUGGGACUGAGACACGGCCCAGACUCCUACGGGAGGCAGCAGUGGGGAAUAUUGCACAAUGGGCGAAAGCCUGAUGCAGCCAUGCCGCGUGUGUGAAGAAGGCCUUCGGGUUGUAAAGCACUUUCAGUUGUGAGGAAAGGUGGGUAGUUAAUAGCUGCUCACUGUGACGUUAGCAACAGAAGAAGCACCGGCUAACUUCGUGCCAGCAGCCGCGGUAAUACGAGGGGUGCAAGCGUUAAUCGGAAUUACUGGGCGUAAAGCGUUCGUAGGCGGUCUAUUAAGCAAGAUGUGAAAGCCCAGGGCUCAACCUUGGAACUGCAUUUUGAACUGGUAGACUAGAGUACUGUAGAGGGUGGUGGAAUUCCAGUGUAGCGGUGAAAUGCGUAGAGAUUGGGAGGAACAUCAG